UUUGGGGUUUUUGGGGUCAGGUUUGAGGCUGGGGCGGUUUUGGGGCGUUUUUUGGGAUUUUUGGGGUUUUUUGGGGUCAGGUUUGGUGCUGUGGGUGGUUUUGGGGCGGUUUUUUGGGGUUUUUGGGGAUUUUGGGGUUUUUGGUGUUUUUGGGGUCAGGUUUGAGGCUGGGGGCGGUUUUGGGGCGUUUUUUUGGGAUUUUUGGGUUUUUUGGGGUCAGGUUUGGUGCUGAGGCGGUUUCGGGGUGGUUUUUUGGGGUUUUUUGGGGUGAUUUUGGUGUUUUUGGGGUCAGGUUUGGUGCUGUGGGUGCUUUUGGGGCGUUUUUUGGGAUUUUUGGGGUUUUGGGGGGUCAGGUUUAGGGGUGGGGUGGUUUUGGGGCGUUUUUUGGGAUUUUUGGGAUUUUUGGGGUUUUUGGGGUCAGGUUUGGUGCUGGGGUGCCAUUGGGGCGGUUUUUUGGGAUUUUUGGGGAUUUUGGGGUUUUUGGGAUUUUUGGGGUUUUUGGGUUCAGGUUUGGGCCUGGGGUGCUUUUGGGGCGUUUUUUGGGGGUUUUUGGGGUCAGGUUUGGUGCUGUGGGUGGUUUUGGGGCGGUUUUUUGGGGUUUUUUGGGAUUUUUGGGGGUUUUGGGGUUUUUGGGGUCAGGUUUGGUGCUGGGGGCGGUUUCGGGGCGGUUUUUUGGGAUUUUUGGGUUUUUUGGGGUCAGGUUUGGUGCUGUGGGUGGUUUUGGGGCGUUUUUUGGGAUUUUUGGGAUUUUUGGGAUUUUUGGGGUCCCUUUUAGCUCUGACUCUUCCCCCCAGCCCAGGCGGAUCCGGCGGCCGAUGAGAGCGGCCUGGGCUGCGCUGUCGCUGCUGCUGCUGCCGGCGCUGGGCCGGCGAGUGACGCCCGCGGCCACCGCGACCACCGCGACCACCGGCAUGGCCACCACAACCACCGCAACCACCGCGACCACCGGCAUGGCCACCGCGACCACCGCGACCACCGGCACGGCCAGCGCCGGGGACAGCGCCGGGGACGGAUCCGGGGACAGCGCCGAGAUCUCGGCCGCCUUCGUCACCUGCCCCAACGUCAGCGUGGCCACUGAGCUGGCCAGGGCUCUGGUCCAGCAGCGUUUGGCCGCCUGUGUCAACAUCAUACCCGGGGUGACCUCGGUGUGAGUGGGGACAUGGGGACACUG
rnacentral:lncRNA from 1 species